AACGAACGCUGGCGGCAGGCCUAACACAUGCAAGUCGAACGCCGUAGCAAUACGGAGUGGCAGACGGGUGAGUAACGCGUGGGAACAUGCCCUUCGGUUCGGAAUAACUCAGGGAAACUUGAGCUAAUACCGGAUACGUCCAAGGCUUGCCUUGGAGAAAGAUUUAUCGCCGGAGGAUUGGCCCGCGUCUGAUUAGCUAGUUGGUGGGGUAAUGGCUCACCAAGGCGACGAUCAGUAGCUGGUCUGAGAGGAUGAUCAGCCACAUUGGGACUGAGACACGGCCCAAACUCCUACGGGAGGCAGCAGUGGGGAAUAUUGGACAAUGGGCGCAAGCCUGAUCCAGCCAUGCCGCGUGAGUGAUGAAGGCCCUAGGGUUGUAAAGCUCUUUUGCCCGGGAAGAUAAUGACGGUACCGGGAGAAUAAGCCCCGGCUAACUUCGUGCCAGCCGCCGCCGUAA
rnacentral:rRNA from 1 species